GCCUUGGCAGUCAGAGGCGAUGAAGGACGUGCUAAUCUGCGAUAAGCGUCGGUAAGGUGAUAUGAACCGUUAUAACCGGCGAUUUCCGAAUGGGGAAACCCAGUGUGAUUCGUCACACUAUCAUUAACUGAAUCCAUAGGUUAAUGAGGCGAACCGGGGGAACUGAAACAUCUAAGUACCCCGAGGAAAAGAAAUCAACCGAGAUUCCCCCAGUAGCGGCGAGCGAACGGGGAGGAGCCCAGAGCCUGAAUCAGUGUGUGUGUUAGUGGAAGCGUCUGGAAAGGCGCGCGAUACAGGGUGACAGCCCCGUACACAAAAAUGCACAUGCUGUGAGCUCGAUGAGUAGGGCGGGACACGUGGUAUCCUGUCUGAAUAUGGGGGGACCAUCCUCCAAGGCUAAAUACUCCUGACUGACCGAUAGUGAACCAGUACCGUGAGGGAAAGGCGAAAAGAACCCCGGCGAGGGGAGUGAAAAAGAACCUGAAACCGUGUACGUACAAGCAGUGGGAGCACAGAGCAAUCUGUGUGACUGCGUACCUUUUGUAUAAUGGGUCAGCGACUUAUAUUCUGUAGCAAGGUUAACCGAAUAGGGGAGCCGAAGGGAAACCGAGUCUUAACUGGGCGUUAAGUUGCAGGGUAUAGACCCGAAACCCGGUGAUCUAGCCAUGGGCAGGUUGAAGGUUGGGUAACACUAACUGGAGGACCGAACCGACUAAUGUUGAAAAAUUAGCGGAUGACUUGUGGCUGGGGGUGAAAGGCCAAUCAAACCGGGAGAUAGCUGGUUCUCCCCGAAAGCUAUUUAGGUAGCGCCUCGUGAAUUCAUCUCCGGGGGUAGAGCACUGUUUCGGCAAGGGGGUCAUCCCGACUUACCAACCCGAUGCAAACUGCGAAUACCGGAGAAUGUUAUCACGGGAGACACACGGCGGGUGCUAACGUCCGUCGUGAAGAGGGAAACAACCCAGACCGCCAGCUAAGGUCCCAAAGUCAUGGUUAAGUGGGAAACGAUGUGGGAAGGCCCAGACAGCCAGGAUGUUGGCUUAGAAGCAGCCAUCAUUUAAAGAAAGCGUAAUAGCUCACUGGUCGAGUCGGCCUGCGCGGAAGAUGUAACGGGGCUAAACCAUGCACCGAAGCUGCGGCAGCGACACUGUGUGUUGUUGGGUAGGGGAGCGUUCUGUAAGCCUGUGAAGGUGUGCUGUGAGGCAUGCUGGAGGUAUCAGAAGUGCGAAUGCUGACAUAAGUAACGAUAAAGCGGGUGAAAAGCCCGCUCGCCGGAAGACCAAGGGUUCCUGUCCAACGUUAAUCGGGGCAGGGUGAGUCGACCCCUAAGGCGAGGCCGAAAGGCGUAGUCGAUGGGAAACAGGUUAAUAUUCCUGUACUUGGUGUUACUGCGAAGGGGGGACGGAGAAGGCUAUGUUGGCCGGGCGACGGUUGUCCCGGUUUAAGCGUGUAGGCUGGUUUUCCAGGCAAAUCCGGAAAAUCAAGGCUGAGGCGUGAUGACGAGGCACUACGGUGCUGAAGCAACAAAUGCCCUGCUUCCAGGAAAAGCCUCUAAGCAUCAGGUAACAUCAAAUCGUACCCCAAACCGACACAGGUGGUCAGGUAGAGAAUACCAAGGCGCUUGAGAGAACUCGGGUGAAGGAACUAGGCAAAAUGGUGCCGUAACUUCGGGAGAAGGCACGCUGAUAUGUAGGUGAAGUCCCUCGCGGAUGGAGCUGAAAUCAGUCGAAGAUACCAGCUGGCUGCAACUGUUUAUUAAAAACACAGCACUGUGCAAACACGAAAGUGGACGUAUACGGUGUGACGCCUGCCCGGUGCCGGAAGGUUAAUUGAUGGGGUCAGCGCAAGCGAAGCUCUUGAUCGAAGCCCCGGUAAACGGCGGCCGUAACUAUAACGGUCCUAAGGUAGCGAAAUUCCUUGUCGGGUAAGUUCCGACCUGCACGAAUGGCGUAAUGAUGGCCAGGCUGUCUCCACCCGAGACUCAGUGAAAUUGAACUCGCUGUGAAGAUGCAGUGUACCCGCGGCAAGACGGAAAGACCCCGUGAACCUUUACUAUAGCUUGACACUGAACAUUGAGCCUUGAUGUGUAGGAUAGGUGGGAGGCUUUGAAGUGUGGACGCCAGUCUGCAUGGAGCCGACCUUGAAAUACCACCCUUUAAUGUUUGAUGUUCUAACGUGGACCCGUGAUCCGGGUUGCGGACAGUGUCUGGUGGGUAGUUUGACUGGGGCGGUCUCCUCCUAAAGAGUAACGGAGGAGCACGAAGGUUGGCUAAUCCUGGUCGGACAUCAGGAGGUUAGUGCAAUGGCAUAAGCCAGCUUGACUGCGAGCGUGACGGCGCGAGCAGGUGCGAAAGCAGGUCAUAGUGAUCCGGUGGUUCUGAAUGGAAGGGCCAUCGCUCAACGGAUAAAAGGUACUCCGGGGAUAACAGGCUGAUACCGCCCAAGAGUUCAUAUCGACGGCGGUGUUUGGCACCUCGAUGUCGGCUCAUCACAUCCUGGGGCUGAAGUAGGUCCCAAGGGUAUGGCUGUUCGCCAUUUAAAGUGGUACGCGAGCUGGGUUUAGAACGUCGUGAGACAGUUCGGUCCCUAUCUGCCGUGGGCGCUGGAGAACUGAGGGGGGCUGCUCCUAGUACGAGAGGACCGGAGUGGACGCAUCACUGGUGUUCGGGUUGUCAUGCCAAUGGCACUGCCCGGUAGCUAAAUGCGGAAGAGAUAAGUGCUGAAAGCAUCUAAGCACGAAACUUGCCCCGAGAUGAGUUCUCCCUGACCCUUUAAGGGUCCUGAAGGAACGUUGAAGACGACGACGUUGAUAGGCCGGGUGUGUAAGCGCAGCGAUGCGUUGAGCUAACCGGUACUAAUGAACCGUGAGGCUUAACCUUACAACGCCGAAGGUGUUU
rnacentral:rRNA from 1 species